rnacentral:rRNA from 1 species
AUUGAACGCUGGCGGCAGGCCUAACACAUGCAAGUCGAGCGGAUGAAGGGAGCUUGCUCCUGGAUUCAGCGGCGGACGGGUGAGUAAUGCCUAGGAAUCUGCCUGGUAGUGGGGGAUAACGUCCGGAAACGGGCGCUAAUACCGCAUACGUCCUGAGGGAGAAAGUGGGGGAUCUUCGGACCUCACGCUAUCAGAUGAGCCUAGGUCGGAUUAGCUAGUUGGUGGGGUAAAGGCCUACCAAGGCGACGAUCCGUAACUGGUCUGAGAGGAUGAUCAGUCACACUGGAACUGAGACACGGUCCAGACUCCUACGGGAGGCAGGAGUGGGGAAUAUCGGACAAUGGGCGAAAGCCUGAACCAGCCAAGGCGCGUGUGUGAAGGAGGUCUGCGGAUUGUAAAGCACUUUAAGUUGAGAGGAAGGGCAGUAAGUUAAGACCUUGCUGUUUUGACGUUACCAACAGAAUAAGCACCGGCUAACUUCGU